rnacentral:rRNA from 1 species
GACGAACGCUGGCGGCGUGCCUAACACAUGCAAGUCGAACGGGACCAGGGGCAACUCUGGUUCAGUGGCGGACGGGUGCGUAACACGUGAGGAACAUGACUUUCGGCGGGGGAUAGCCGGCCCAACGGCCGGGUAAUACCGCGUACGACCUGUUGGGGACAUCCCUGAUUGGUGAAAGCAGCAAUGCACCGAAAGAGUGCCUCGCGGCCUAUCAGCUAGUUGGUGGGGUAAUGGCUCACCAAGGCGACGACGGGUAGCUGGUCUGAGAGGAUGGCCAGCCACAUUGGGACUGAGACACGGCCCAGACUCCUACGGGAGGCAGCAGUGGGGAAUAUUGCGCAAUGGGCGAAAGCCUGACGCAGCGACGCCGCGUGUGGGAUGACGGCCUUCGGGUUGUAAACCACUGUCGGGAGGGACGAAUGCGCCGCAAGGCGAGUGACGGUACCUCCAAAGGAAGCACCGGCUAAC